GUCAAAUGAAAAAAAGAAUAUUUUUUUAAAUGUGCUAGAGAAUAUUAAAAUAAUUUAACAUAUUUUAAUAUAUAUUAAAUAAUUUAUUUUAAAUUAUUUUUUAACAUCUAAAAUAUUUUUUUAAAAAAAAUUGGCUUCUCAAUCUCAACACAAAAAGAUUUAAAUUUCAUUAUAUAUAUAUUGAAGGGAAUGACUAUGAGAUAAUGCAAUGGGCGGCAAAAAUGCAAAAAAUAAAAAAUAUGAGUCAACAAAGGACAAGAGCAUAAAAAGACUUUCAAGAUUUGAGAUCUCCAAAUUUCUGUGAGAUGUGGGCAAAUUAAGAGAUGGAAUUGACAUGAAUACUAAAGCAGAGCAGAGACUAUCUCCAAUUCUCCAUUAACUUGCUAUUCUAUUCAAAUCAUUCAACCUAAUUAAUUUUCAAAGACAACCCAUCAAAGAAAAUCAUUACAUGUAUGAAAAAUUGUAAGCUCCCCCCACCCACUUGACCAAUGCCUCCUCCAACCCCAAUUGCUUAGGAAAAAGGGGUCAUAUCUAUCCUAUCCAAGGCCUUGUUUGGUAAAGCUGCAUAAUUUUAAAUCAUUAGCUUGAGUUGUGCUUGUGCCAUACAAUAUUGGACUAGACCUUGUUCCCAUUCUCACUUCUUGUGGCUAAUAGUUGAGCCAACUUUGGAAGCUAUUCACAACCAUCAUUGGUGAUCAUUGAGAAAUGAGAAGCAUAUCUCUAUAUAAGACAUGAAGAUAUUGUCAUGUGAUUUAGACAAAUAUGUAAAGUCAUUUCUUUGUGAGAUUUAUGUAAUUAUGUUUUGUGGUUCUUGUGAAAAUGCCAAAUUCAAAUGAUUUAGACAAGAAUCUAACAUUAGAAAUUUUAAUUCUCCAAAAAC
rnacentral:misc_RNA from 1 species